AAUAAGGUGCCUGAAUAAAGGGUUAUUUUGAUAGAAUAAAUUAUAUACAAUGUAUUCUUAUUG
rnacentral:tRNA from 1 species